CCGGAUGUCUUCUUCUGAUCGCAUGGUCGGAUGAAGAAAGAUUUAUCGCUUCGGGAGGGUCUCGCGGCCUAUCAGCUAGUUGGCGGGGUAACGGCCCACCAAGGCGUCGACGGGUAGCUGGUCUGAGAGGACGAUCAGCCACACUGGGACUGAGACACGGCCCAGACUCCUACGGGAGGCAGCAGUGGGGAAUAUUGCGCAAUGGGCGAAAGCCUGACGCAGCAACGCCGCGUGCGGGAUGAAGGCCUUCGGGUUGUAAACCGCUUUCAGUGGGGACGAAUUCAGACGGUACCCACAGAAGAAGCCCCGGCCAACUACGUG
rnacentral:rRNA from 1 species